rnacentral:rRNA from 1 species
UACGGAGGGUGCAAGCAUUAAUCGGAUUUAUUGGGCGUAAAGAGCUCGUAGGCGGUUUGGCAAGUCGGAUGUGAAAGCUCCGGGCUCAACCCGGAGACGCCAUUCGAUACUGCCAUGACUAGAGUCCGGUAGGGGGGUGUGGAAUUCCCAGUGUAGCGGUGAAAUGCGCAGAUAUUGGGAGGAACACCAAUGGCGAAGGCAGCACCCUGGGCCGGUACUGACGCUGAGGAGCGAAAAGCGUGGGGGAGCAAACAGGG